rnacentral:RNase_P_RNA from 1 species
AGAGCCGACCGGGUGGUCGCGGGCGUAUUCCAACGCUCGAGGAAAGUCCGGACUCCACAGGGCAGGGAGCUGGGUAACGCCCAGNNNNNNNNNNNNNNGGGAAACCGCCGGCCUUCAUUUAUGAGGGCGGGCAAGGGUGAAAAGGUGGGGUAAGAGCCCACCAGCGGCCUGGUGACAGGACCGGCUUGGUAAACCCCUCUUGGAGCAAGGCCAAAUAGGAGCCGAUGCUGUAGCCCGCAGCGUUCGAGGCUCGGGUAGGCCGCUCGAGGCCGCCGGUAACGGCGGUCCCAGAUGGAUGACCACCGCCCGGUUCGUCCGGGUACAGGAUCCGGCUUACAGGUCGGCUCUCUCU